rnacentral:SRP_RNA from 1 species
GCCGGGUGUGGUGGUGGGCGCCUGUAAUCUCAGCUACUCGGGAGGCUGAGGCAGAGAAUUGCGUGAACCUGGGAGGCGGAGGUUGCAGUGAGCCAAGAUCGCACCACUGUACUCCAGCCUAGGAGACAGAGGGAGGCUCCAUCUGAAAAAAAAAAAAAAAAAAAAACAGUCAUUAUGUUUUUUUGUGUUUUCUUGUUUGUUUGUUUUUUGUUUUUUUGAGAUGGAGCCUCACUCUGCCGCUCAGGCUGGAGUGCAGUGGCGCGAUCUUGGCUCACUGCAACCUCCGCCUCCCGGGUUCAAGCAAUCCUCUGCCUCAG